CAGCGCCACGGUAAUACGGAGGGUGCGAGCGUUAUUCGGAAUUACUGGGCGUAAAGCGCACGCAGGCGGUUACCCAAGUCAGAUGUGAAAGCCCCGGGCUUAACCUGGGAACUGCAUUUGAAACUGGGCGACUAGAGUAUGAAAGAGGAAAGCGGAAUUUCCAGUGUAGCAGUGAAAUGCGUAGAUAUUGGAAGGAACACCGAUGGCGAAGGCAGCUUUCUGGGUCGAUACUGACGCUCAUGUGCGAAAGCGUGGGGAGCAAACAGGAUUAGAUACCCCGGUAGUCCCUGUCUCUUAUACA
rnacentral:rRNA from 1 species